rnacentral:rRNA from 1 species
ACUUUUAAUAGAACUUCUAAUAAAUCAUAAAAUAAAAAAUAACAAUGUAACAUAAUACAAAACUUUAAAAGAAAAUAAAUCAUUUUUUUAAGAAAAUAUAAAUGAUCUUGUACGUAAUAGAGAAUGAUAACAAGAAUUAAUUGCAAAUUAUAACUAAGUAGAACAACUCAAAAAUGGAAAACCUUCAACCAAACACAAAGAAGUAUCUAUACAAAAAGUACUAAGAAGGAAAUUAAUAAUAAUCUAAGAAAUACAAUACGUAAUCAAUACUAUUCCUUUUGCAUCAGGAGCUUACUAGAAACACUAUAAAUAAAUCAUAAAAUAAAAUAAAAUACUAAUUAAGAAAUUUAUAACACCCGAAAUCUUGUGAUCUAACUACAGACAGUCUAAAAGGACGAAUUAAUAAAUGUUACAAUAUUUUUAAAUGAACUGUAAUUAGAAAUAAAAAAUUAAACAAACAAGAAUAUACCUGGUUUUCAACGAAACAUAUUAAAGUAUUACCAAUAAAUAUAAAAUCCAAUUCUUUUUAAAAGAAAAUAAACAGACUUCUUGUGAAAAGAUUAUAAGUCAAAAUGGAAACAGCCAUACUCUACAUCUAAAAUCACAAAUAAACUUUCAAUAUUACAACACAAUACAAUAAAAGUUGACUUAAAAACAGCCAUCUUCUAACAAAAACGUAAUAGUUUACAACAAUAAAACACUAAUAAAAAAUACACGAAUGAGAUAAUUUAACAUUAGAAAUAAAAAAUUAGUUGAAUAAUCAAUACUUACUACUGAAUAAAUAAUAUAAGCACUAGUAAUUUUUCAAUACACCCAAGGAAAUAAAAACGGUGUUUAAUUCAUAACAACUUACUUACAACCGUACCCAAAACCAACACAGGUGGGAAAACAUAAAACAUAAAAACUCUUAAGGAACUAGGCAAAUAAAAGCUCGACUGUUUACCAAAAACAUAGCUAUAAGAAAAAAUUAUAAAUAGUGACGCCUGCUCAAUGGUUGAACAAUAACACUUAACAACAAUUCAAUAGCUGCGGUAAUACCUAACCGUACAAAGGUAGCACAACAAAUAGCCUGAUAAUUCCAGGAUCGCAUGAAGGCAAAACGAAACUUUACCUGUCUCAAGAACCUAAAAAGAAAAUAGAAUGUGUGUGAAAAUCCACACUUAAGCGGCAAGACGACAAGACCCUAAAAACUUUACUAAAAAUCUUAAACAUUACUACCAACAACUAUACAAAUACAAUAAAUAGAAAAACUCAAGAUUAAAGUUUCGUUGGGGCAACGAUCUCAAAAACAAUAAAUAAGAUUAAUACAAUCCUCUAACCCACAAACCAAUAAGUUUUACCGAUAAGACCCAUUAAUAAUAUAAAUUAAUGAACAUAAAAUAAAAGCUCUUUAGGGAUAACAGCGUAAUAUUGUUUACAAAGAUCCACUCAAACAAUGUUUGCGACCUCGAUGUUGAAUUGCUAUACCCCUAAUGUAGACACAUUAAAAGGUUGGACUGUCCUUCCAUUAAAAUAGCCCAUGAUUUGAGUUCAGACCGAGGCAACUCAGGUCAGAUUCUAUCUACCGCCACAUUAAAAUAAAGCCUAAGUACGAAAGGAAAACGCUUUUAAACAAAUAGUAUUAAAUAAUUACCACGAUAAAAAAAAUUAAAAUUAUAAAUUUAAAUACUUUUAUACUCCAUAACAAUAAAUGAAUAUAUUAAUAAAAACAGCAUUGU